GUGAUUAUGAAAUUAAUUAGAAAAUAUAGUGGUAUGUUCUUAUUUUUACCAGCUUCUGCUAGCGUGUAUGGCGUCUGGCUUUGGAACCUCACUGUGACUUCAGAUAAGAACAAAGAUUAAAUUGUAAGGUUUGCUUAUAAGAGAGCAUACAGUACAUCUGAAACUGCUGAGGCUGGGAAGGUUGUUUACUAUUUUACCGACCAGAUCAGCUGCUAUAGAAGAC